UAUUGCUCAGUAACACGUGGACAAUCUGCCCUGGAGAGGAGGAUAACCCCGGGAAACUGGGAUUAAUACUCCAUAGUUCGUCUUAACUGGAAUGUUAUUCGAACGAAAGAUCCGUCGCUCCAGGAUGAGUCUGCGGCCGAUUAGGUAGUUGUUGGGGUAACGGCCCAACAAGCCUUUCAUCGGUACGGGUUGUGGGAGCAAGAGCCCGGAGAUGGAUUCUGAGACACGAAUCCAGGCCCUACGGGGCGCAGCAGGCGCGAAAACUUUACCAUGCGGGCAACCGUGAUAAGGAAACCCCGAGUGCCAGCACAGGCUGGCUGUCCGCCAGUUUAAAUAACUGGUGAAGAAAGGGCCGGGCAAGACCGGUGCCAGCAGCCGCGGUAAUACAAUAAA
rnacentral:rRNA from 1 species